UCCCUGGUGGACCAGUGGCUUGGACUCCGUGCUUCCAACACAGGGGCCUAGGUUCCAUCCCUGGUCAGGGAA
rnacentral:tRNA from 1 species